rnacentral:rRNA from 1 species
UACGUAGGUCCCGAGCGUUGUCCGGAUUUAUUGGGCGUAAAGCGAGCGCAGGUGGUUUAUUAAGUCUGGUGUAAAAGGCAGUGGCUCAACCAUUGUAUGCAUUGGAAACUGGUAGACUUGAGUGCAGGAGAGGAGAGUGGAAUCCCAUGUGUAGCGGUGAAAUGCGUAGAUAUAUGGAGGAACACCGGUGGCGAAAGCGGCUCUCUGGCCUGUAACUGACACUGAGGCUCGAAAGCGUGGGGAGCAAACAGG